rnacentral:tRNA from 1 species
AACGGAGAAGGCAAAAGGGAUAGCAGCAGAUUCAUACUCUGUACAUAUGAGGUUCAAAUCCUAAUCGUUU